UAUGGCCAUAUCAUGUUGAAACACCAGUUCCUGUAUGAUAACUGAAGUUAAGCAAUGUCAAGUCUGGUCUCUACCUAGAUGGGUGACCACUUAGGAAUACUAGGUGCUGCAAGC